rnacentral:rRNA from 1 species
UAAGUACCGCAUAUGCUCUACGGAGGACAGUGGGGGACUCGCAAGGGCCUCACGCUAUGGGAGCGGCCGAUGUCCGAUAAGCUUGUUGGCGGGGUAAUGGCCCACCAAGGCGACGAAUCGGUAGCUGGUCUGAGAGGAUGAUCAGCCACACUGGGACUGAGACACGGCCCAGACUCCUACGGGAGGCAGCAGUGGGGAAUUUUUGGACAAUGGGGGCAACCCUGAUCCAGCCAUGCCGCGUGCGGGAAGAGGGCCUUCGGGGUUGUAAACCGUUUUGGUCGGAAAGAAAAGGCGCCACCUAAUACGGGGCGCUCUUGCACGGGUACCCGGGCAGAAUAAGCACCGGGUAAACUUACGUGCCCAGCAGCCGCGGGUAAUA